UACGUAGGGUGCAAGCGUUAAUCGGAAUUACUGAGCGUAAAGCGUGCGCAGGCGGUUUUGUAAGUCUGUUGUGAAAUCCCCGGGCUUAACCUGGGAAUGGCAAUGGAGACUGCAAGGCUAGAGUUUGGCAGAGGGGGGUAGAAUUCCACGUGUAGCAGUGAAAUGCGUAGAGAUGUGGAGGAACACCGAUGGCGAAGGCAGCCCCCUGGGUCAAGACUGACGCUCAUGCACGAAAGCGUGGGGAGCAAACAGG
rnacentral:rRNA from 1 species